GAAGGGCAAGUGUAUAAAAUCACCUGGUAUUAUGCGUCUUUCACGUAGUAGAUUGUUCCUUACAAAGAAACCAAAGGGCAGAAAAUCACUUGGUCAGUGUAUGCAUGCAUGCAUGUAUGUUGUUAACCUUCUUUCUUGAUUUUAACUAUAUGUAAGUUCCGAAAUUAAUCAACCAUAUGGUGGUAACGGGAAACAACCAUCCAACAAUUGUGGCACAAGUAAUGAGAAACAACCGUCCGAGAAUUCGCUUGGUCAGGGUAUAUGUUACAAGGAGAAAGAACGCCUCUUUAAUCAGUGGAGGUUAUGGGCCUUACAUGAUCAUGAUAAAUGUAUCCGAACAAGGAAACAAAUCCAAAAUUCCUACUUUGAAGAAUUCGAGGAGGAAUGGGCGCAGAAUGAAGCUGAAUGUGUAGAUUUAUGGAAGGUCACGGAUGAGGCGGCUACCACGGCUCUAAUUAACCGAAUGUAUAAUGGUUUCAAACCACUUGAUGAUUCUAAGAUGGAGGAGGACUCAACUGACGCGGAGUAAUUAUGAUCGAAGGUACAUUACUUGUUUUAGCAAUGGGCGGGUUUCUUUUAUGUAUAAUUCAUAGAUGUGGUAUUCCUUUUUUUUUAAAUAAAUAGUCAACUAUUUCAAUGAUGAAACCAUUAGCUUUGUUCUUGAUGGAGACUGGGGAGUCUUGUUGAUUUGUGGAUGCCAGUUUUGAGGUUUAACA